CGCGGCCUGGCCCCACCCUCCUCUCGCCGCCAGCUCGCGUCCGGCUGACAGGCCGGAUCUGAGGUGGACAGGCCGGGUCUGAGGUAGACAGGUCAGCCGGUGCAGCCAAGGCGAGUCAGGGGAAGGGGUGUGUGGCUGCGACUGUGGUGACAGGGCCAAGGCCCCUCUGGAGAUGCGAGACCAAGAAUGAGGCGUGGAAAACGCACAUCCGAAAUGUAUGGCAACAACUUCUGCAGCCGGCAGAGUGUGAACGGCGGCUUCUCGGCCUUGCUCCCUCACCGCCGCGGCGCACGUUCGGGGCUGAGGAGGCCCAGGAGUCGCGAGAGCGGCGGUUUCUUGGGGACCUACCAGGCCCCGCCCAUCGGGCCAACCCCGCCCCUUUCCACGACGUCCCCGCCCACCAGACCCAGAAGUGGAAUUGCUGGACCAUAUUAUAAUUCUACUUUUAAUUUUUCGAGGAGCCACCCUCCUGUUUUCCAUAGCAGCUGCACCACUUGAGAAUCCCAUUGACAAUGCACAAAGGUUGUAAGUUCUUCACAUUCUCACUAACACUUAUGUUUUACUUUCGUCUUAGUAGAUGUGAGAGGUUGCCUCAUUAUGGCUUUGUUUGCAUUUCUGUGAUGAUCAGUGAUGUUGAACACCUUUUCAUAGACUUGUUGGCCAUUGGUAUGUCCUCUUUGGAGAAAUGUGCCUUUACUUGCUUUGCCUUGGGUGGGGGCAGUCUCACUAAGUUGCCCAGGCUGGCUUCAAACCCUCUAUCCUUCUGCCUCAGACUCCUGAGUAGUCAAGGUUACAGGCCUGUGUCACCAUGCCUGGCAUCUUUUGGCUAUUUUUUAAUUGAGUUAUUUUGGGUUUGUUGUUAAGGUGUAACAAUUCUUCAUAUUUUCUGGAUAUUAACUCCUUAUCAGUUGCAGUCAUACUUUGGUCCUCAACUGCUUUCAAACUUGUCAGAUUUGGCAUUCGAUGCAUUCGAUGUGACAGCUUUUGUCCCGGUACUUACCAUCUGUUUGCCGAAAGCUAGGACGUGUUGGUAUGGAUUGCCUUGCGACUCACUUCCCUUUACACCCAAAACACCUCCCAGAACCGAUAAGCAAUGGGUACCAAGAUACCAACUGUUGUAGUUACUUUUCUCACUGCUGAGGCAAAAUACCCAACACCUGAAGUUAAAGGAGGAAAGUUUUGUUCUAGUUCACAGUUUGUAGAGGUUUCAGUCCAUAGUCAGCUGACUCCAAGGCAGGGCGGUGGGGCAGAGGGGCAUUGCAGAGGAGAAAUAGCCCAUGGCAAAGCAGGGCAGACAGAUGGUAGCCUGCAGCAAGCUACAAGUGACAGGCAGCGACCCUCUUUCUAUCCCUUAUAUUUUAUCCAGCCUACCUACAGUAGGGCAGAUAGCACUAACACCCACGGUGAGACACCCUUAAUCCACCCAAAACUAUUUCAAACCAAUCAGUGGACUAAUUUAGUACUCACACACCCUUAAUCCCAGCAUGGCACUUCAGAUGCAGCCACCUUGGAAAAGCCCCACCUAUGACAGCUUGAGGCUUUGUGGGGGGCAUCUAGACACAAGCUGUAACACCAAGUAUGAUUUACACAUAUUGUCUCCCAUUCCAUGAGUGGCCUUCACAUUUUGUUAAUUUGUCCUUUGAGGCACAGAGGUUUUACAUUUUAAUGUUGUACAUUUUAUCUAUCUUUACUUUUGUUGCUCCUGCUUUGUGUCUGUCACAUCUAAGACGUC
ensembl:lncRNA